rnacentral:misc_RNA from 1 species
AACCAAAUCACCAAAACCUAAAGGAGAAAAAUGGCAGCUUCGAGCAUUGCGCAUCAGAUUCAUAUUAAUGUCAAUUCUCCAAUUCUUCUUCCUUUGAGAACCAAUUUCAGUUCACUCUCUUUCACUUUCUCUAAUGCUAGAUACCCAUUAAAAUGGAAUCACAUUGGUUGCCCCAAAAUUUGUGCUCUACCAGCUGUUUCAAUAAUUGCUUCUGGAAGUUCUAGAGAGAUGCUUCCUCCUGCCCUUGAUUCCUCUUCAGAGCCACCAGCAAUCUUUGAUGGAACUCCAAAGCUUUAUAUCUCUUACUCAUGCCCAUAUGCCCAACGUACGUGGAUUGCUAGAAAUUGUAAGGCGCUGCAGGAAGAGAUUAAGUUGGUUCCUA